rnacentral:rRNA from 1 species
UACGUAGGGUGCGAGCGUUAAUCGGAAUUACUGGGCGUAAAGCGUGCGCAGGCGGUUUUAUAAGACAGGUGUGAAAUCCCCGGGCUCAACCUGGGAACGGCAUUUGUGACUGUAAGACUAGAGUACGGUAGAGGGGGAUGGAAUUCCGCGUGUAGCAGUGAAAUGCGUAGAUAUGCGGAGGAACACCGAUGGCGAAGGCAAUCCCCUGGACCUGUACUGACGCUCAUGCACGAAAGCGUGGGGAGCAAACAGG